UAGGGAAUCUUCCGCAAUGGACGCAAGUCUGACGGAGCAACGCCGCGUGAGUGAAGAAGGAUUUCGGUUCGUAAAACUCUGUUGUUAGAGAAGAACAGCGCAUAGAGUAACUGUUAUGCGUGUGACGGUAUCUAACCAGAAAGCCACGGCUAACUACGUGCCAGCAGCCGCGGUAAUACGUAGGUGGCAAGCGUUGUCCGGAUUUAUUGGGCGUAAAGCGAGCGCAGGCGGUCAAUUAAGUCUGAUGUGAAAGCCCCCGGCUCAACCGGGGAGGGUCAUUGGAAACUGGUUGACUUGAGUGCAGAAGAGGAGAGUGGAAUUCCAUGUGUAGCGGUGAAAUGCGUAGAUAUAUGGAGGAACACCAGUGGCGAAGGCGACUCUCUGGUCUGUAACUGACGAUGAGGCUCGAAGGCGUGGGGAGCGAACAGG
rnacentral:rRNA from 1 species